UAUGUAGGGUGCGAGCGUUGUCCGGAAUUAUUGGGCGUAAAGGGCUCGUAGGCGGUUUGUCGCGUCGGGAGUGAAAACCAGGUGCUUAACACCUGGCUUGCUUUCGAUACGGGCAGACUAGAGGUAUUCAGGGGAGAACGGAAUUCCUGGUGUAGCGGUGAAAUGCGCAGAUAUCAGGAGGAAUACCGGUGGCGAAAGCGACUCUCUGGACGGCAACUGACGCUGAGGCACGAAAGCGUGGGUAGCGAACAGG
rnacentral:rRNA from 1 species